AAAGUUGGGUCAAGUGUUUUCGCAGUUCCUGACCUCAUAUACUUAUAUUGUGAGACUAACAACAAAAUUUCAAUAAUACCUCAAUUCAGAAACUAAUACUUGAAGUUUGGACAUGCCUUGAUAACUUUAUUUUUCUAUUAUUUUUUAUUGUAAGAUGAUAAACUGCAUAUUUUAUUUGUGUUUGCAGGAUCAUUUUCAGUGCACACACCCAUGAAUUUUGUGAUCACACUCACCAAGAUGGAACUCGUGAAGUAACUGUGUCAGCCAUGACAUGGAAGGCAAGGGAUGACCCGGGUUUGUUGUUGCCACCUUCCAUGGGAACAGAAGAGAAAUGAUACGUCCGGACAAGAAUAUUAUUUGCCUGUUGAAUGACCUUCCUUAUUCCAUACUUCCCAUUGCAUGUUUUUCCAAGGGCAACAUUUGUUAAACCCUUAGUUGGAAAGCAAAUCCAGUUCCAUCUUAACACCCUUUGUAUGCCCCGAUAAUAAUAAUUAAAUAAAGUGUUAGAACUCAAAUGAAA